rnacentral:lncRNA from 1 species
CUUUCUUUCAGAACUUCUCUAACACGGGCUCCUGUUCUGCUAGUGCCACCUCCGCAGUGCUUUUGUGAAACGGGCUUGUACUGAAGGAGGUGUAUGAUUUAAGCACAUUCUCUUCUACCUUGAAGGACCCAGAGAUAAUUGCUUCCCAUUUAGUGAAAGGGAAAGGCUGGAGGAAAGUUAUAGAAUUCCCAAAGGUCUCUGUAGGAAUCACUCUGGCUGGAAGAGUGUGGCCUAUGUGCCCUUCCCCAGGACAACUAAAGAGUCUUCUCGUUUUGAGUUUAAAGGGAACUGACAGUUGGAGAAAGGUCAUUCACAAAUGUUCAUUCGUGCAGUUUCGAUGCCAAAAAGCCCUCAGACUUCAACAAAGCACACAACUAUCAAACAGUCACCUUUAUUUUUAGAGCGAGUGAGGCAAUGGCUUUCACUAAGCAACUGGAGGGGAGAAAC